ACGGCGAGUGAAGCGGCAAAAGCUCAAAUUUGAAACCCUCGGGAUUGUAAUUUGAAGAUUUGGCAUUGGAGAAAGCUAACCCAAGUUGCUUGGAAUAGUACGUCAUAGAGGGUGACAACCCCGUCUGGCUAACCGUUCUCCAUGUAUUGCCUUAUCAAAGAGUCGAGUUGUUUGGGAAUGCAGCUCAAAGUGGGUGGUAAACUCCAUCUAAAGCUAAAUACUGGUGAGAGACCGAUAGCGAACAAGUACUGUGAAGGAAAGGUGAAAAGAACUUUGAAAAGAGAGUGAAAUAGUAUGUGAAAUUGUUGAUAGGGAAGGAAAUGAGUGGAGAGUGGCCGAGGUUUCAGCCGCCCCUCGUGGGCGGUGUACUGCCGACGCCGAGUCAUCGAUAGCGAGACGAGGGUUACAAAUGGGAGCGCCUUUCGGGCGUUCUCCCCUAACCCUCCACACUGCCACCGACGACAUAAUCCACCCAUUUCACCCGUCUUGAAACACGGACAAAGGACUGUCGACGUAAGUCAAGGAUGCUGGAAUA
rnacentral:rRNA from 1 species